rnacentral:rRNA from 1 species
CUUGGGAGUUAAUUCUCCUAAGGCUAAAUAACGGCGAGAGACCGAUAGCGAACAAGUACCUUGAGGGAAAGAUGAAAAGAACUUUGAAAAGAGAGUUAACCAGUACGUGAAAUUGUUGAAAGGGAAAGGUUGAAAUCCAGUCGUCCAUUGGGGAAUCCACCCUUUCGGGUGCGAUUCGUGGGUUUUGGAGGGGUUCAACGCCUUCCGGAUUUUGGCAUAUUCGUGCUUUUGGGUGUACUUGCCCGUGUGGUUGGUUAACAUCAAUUUUGGGGGUCAUAAAAUGGCUGGAGGAAUGUAGCUUCCAUA